GAUGAACGCUAGCGGGAGGCUUAACACAUGCAAGUCGUGGGGCAGCACGGUGUAGCAAUACACUGGUGGCGACCGGCGCACGGGUGAGUAACGCGUAUGCAACCUGCCCUGUACAGGGCGGUAGCCCGGAGAAAUUCGGAUUAAUACCCCAUAAAGAUAUCGAGAGGCAUCUUUUGAUAUUUAACGCUUCGGCGGUACGGGACGGGCAUGCGUGACAUUAGCUUGUUGGUAGGGUAACGGGCUACCAAGUCUUCGAUGUCUAGGGGUUCUGUGAGGGUGAGCCCCCACACUGGUACUGAGACACGGACCAGACUCCUACGGGAGGCAGCAGUGAGGAAUAUUGGUCAAUGGGGGACAGCCUGAACCAGCCAUCCCGCGUGAAGGAAGAAGGCGCUAUGCGUUGUAAACUUCUUUUCCAGAGGAAUAAAAUUUCGUACGUGUACGGAACUGAAGGUACCCUGGGAAUAAGCAUCGGCUAACUCCGUGCCAGCAGCCGCCGCGGUAA
rnacentral:rRNA from 1 species